UAGCUCAGUUAGUGGAGCGUGGCACUAACAACGCUAAGGUCGUGGGUUCAAUUCCCGU
rnacentral:tRNA from 1 species